AACAGUCAGCUCACAAAGUUGCAGGUGAAGGUGCUGCCCACCCAUGAUGCCAGCAAGGUGCGUGCAAGUGGAUCCGGCCUUAAAACCACUGGAGUGCCCAGCUCUCUGCCAGUGAAGUUCAACAUUGAUGGCAAAGAUGCAGGACCCAGACGGAAGCCCAAGAAGCAAAUAUCUGUGACAACCAUGAUGGGA